UACAGAGGUCUCAAGCGUUGUUCGGAUUCAUUGGGCGUAAAGGGUGCGUAGGCGGCGCGGUAAGUCGGGUGUGAAAUCUCGGAGCUUAACUCCGAAACUGCAUUCGAUACUGCCGUGCUUGAGGACUGGAGAGGAGACUGGAAUUUACGGUGUAGCGGUGAAAUGCGUAGAUAUCGUAAGGAAGACCAGUGGCGAAGGCGGGUCUCUGGACAGUUCCUGACACUGAGGCGCGAAAGCCAGGGGAGCGAACGGG
rnacentral:rRNA from 1 species